rnacentral:rRNA from 1 species
GAUGAACGCUGGCGGCGUGCUUAACACAUGCAAGUCGAACGGAAAGGCUCCUGCUUGCAGGGGUACUCGAGUGGCGAACGGGUGAGUAACACGUGGGUGAUCUGCCCUGCACUUCGGGAUAAGCCUUGGAAACUGGGUCUAAUACCGGAUAGGACGAUGGUUUGGAUGCCGUUGUGGAAAGAUUUUGCGGUGUGGGGUGAGCUCGCGGCUUAUCAGCUUGUUGGUGGGGUAUUGGCCUACCAAGGCGUCGACGGGUAGCCGGCCUGAGAGGGUGUACGGCCACAUUGGGACUGAGAUACGGCCCAGACUCCUACGGGAGGCAGCAGUGGGGAAUAUUGCACAAUGGGCGCAAGCCUGAUGCAGCGACGCCGCGUGGGGGAUGACGGCCUUCGGGUUGUAAACUCCUUUCGCUAGGGACGAAGCGCAAGUGACGGUACCUGGAGAAGAAGCACCGGCUAACUACGUG